GAAAUCUGUUGUGAAGAUUACAGCUGAUAUUCGUUUUUUUAGAUCAGCUAGUAACCUGCUGGACACAUGGAUAGGUCAUGUGGAUUCCUUACACGGCAGGAAGUUGGAAGUUGGACAACCUACUUGGAUUUCAUCCGUAAGACCAUGGACAACAUAUUGCUAUUAUUUAAUAUUUAUAUACCAGUGCUGAUCAGAGGUCUCAGUAAGACUAGUCUAGGUGGUGCACUGACUGAACAGUUGCACAUCACGCUUCUCAGGAGCAGAUCCUUCAGAGGUGAAUUUUACUUUUACUGAGGUCACUGGCAAAAUUUCCACCAGCUUCACAGAGGUUCUUAGAGAGACCUGGUCCAAGUAGAGACACCUGAUGAUCCCAUGACCCUAGGCUGACUAUAGAUGGAAUGUUUGUGAAUUUAAAAAUCCCAAGAUGUUAUUCUGGAUGCUCAGCACCAGGAGUUGAAGCAAUCAACUUGGCUCAUGAUCAAGGUGCAAACAUUGCAGCUAGAUCUUCAGUGUGCGCCAUGCCAAAGAACAGAGAGCUCUGCGGAAAUCCUGGCCAUGGAGAUGAGUUGAAAGUCAGCUCAAGAUGAUGCGUGUGAAGGGCUUAACAAUUUUGAUAUAGUGUCUAUUGAGCCUCGGCAGAAAGCUCUAUCAAGAGGCAAAAAAUUAGCACUGAAAUGCUCAGCCUCUGUUUAACCAAGUGGCCAGAGGCUUGGACAAAUACUCAGAUCUACUCGCUAGGGGAUUGGGCACAAGUUUGCUGAGAGGAGUGACGAGCUCUGGCUCAGACAUGAGACAUACUGGAGCCACAGGUCUCACAUGUACAAGCCUCAGUGCAAGAACUAAGGCCAUGCUUUCUUUCCACAAUUAUUUCUGGAGUGAUAACUUUUGGCUCCCUGCAGUUUGCCAACAGAGCUGUAGAUUCCUGAAAAAUUGCUUCGAGCGUACUGACCUUUCUAUUCUGAGCCACCUUUCACUCAUCCCUUAGAAACAGCAGCGAGCCCCAGGGAAGCACAGCCUGCAGGCUGCAAACCACUGCCCUAGAUACUCCUCAGGCAGUUCUGAAGCACCAGCUUUCCCCAGGCUGCAGAAAAUCUGACCUUAGCAUAACCUUUCUGGAGAGACAGACCCAGGCAGAAAAAACACCCUUUGGGAAGGUUUCAGUGAAGUAAUCCCUCAUGGGCAGUGGCCUGCAGCGAAGCACCAACCCCUCUUUCUUUUAGUAGAAACUCGUCUCUACUGAUUUCAUCUUAUCACAUGCUAGAUAACCACCGAGGGCUGCUCCGAAAGUAAUGCCUCCUAUUUUAUUAUGUUGGCCCACAAUGUCAGACGUGAAUGUUGUUGGUAUAGUAGCAGAAGUUGAACCUUCCCAGCAAUAUCUCAUUACAUGCUGUUGCCGUGUGACAGAUGGCAGCAGAGGGGCAGUCUUACAAAAUGGCAUCUGUCAUGGAAGCACACAUGAAGUAAAGGUGUGGCACUGAAUUCCUCUACAUGGGAAAAUGGCAUCCACUGACAUUCACUGACAUCUGUUGAACGUUUAUGGAGACCAAUCAGUGGAUGUGAACACAGUGAGGUGAUGUGUGGUACAUUUCAGCAGUGGCGACAGUGACGUGGGAGACAUGCCAAGUUCUGAAUGGCCAUGCAGAGCUGUCACACCAUGAAACAAAGAGCUCAUCUCAAUCAGUUCACCUGUGUGAACUGCGAUUAUACACAGGGAACUGUAUAUGGAGCUUAAUAUCAACUUCAGUGCGUUGGAAAUGAUGGUGACAAUAUUGGAAUAUCAAAAAGUUUGCACCAGGUGGGUCCCAUGAAUGCUCACACAGGCACAGAAAUAACAUCAUAUGCAAGUUUGUCAGGAUCUGUUGAACCAAUAUGAGGCUGAAGGUGACUGCUUUCAGGACCAUAUCAUUACCAGUGAUGUGGUGUCACACUAUGAGCUGGAGUCAAAACAGCAGUCCAUGGAGAGGCAACAUGUGAAUUCCACACUGAAGAAAAAGUUCAAGAUGCAGUCCUUAGUGAGUAAAGUGAUGCGUGCUGUUUCUUGCGAUAGGAAAGGAGCAGUCCUUCUGAAUUUCAUGGAACCUGAACAAACCAUCAACUCUGACCACUAUGUAGCAAGAUGAAGGUUCAAAGUUGCAGUCAGGCCAGAGAAGAAUACAACCUUUCUCUUGCAAUGCAAUAAUGCCAGGCCCCAUAUCAGUCUGAAGACCAUUAAGCACACUGUCAGUCUUGGCUGCACUGUCCUACCAUACCCACUGUAUAGUCUAGAUUUGGUCCCUUCUGAUUUCCAUCUGAUCAGACCAAUGAAAGAUGGAUUGUGUGGGCAACCUUUUCCUUGUAACGGCAGCUGUGUAAUAGUGGGUCACCUUUACUGGUGCAGAUUGUUACAACCACAGCGUGCAGGCUCUUGUUCACCUCUGAUGAUAAUGUGUAUCUACUGGUGGUGAUUAUGUUGAAAGAUUGUGUUUUGUAG
ensembl:lncRNA